ensembl:lncRNA novel transcript
AGGGUCAGAUGUUCCCUUCCAUUACAAAGAAAAAUGUAGCAGUAAGCUUGUCAGUCCUUCUCUCCUGUCCCUAGGGCCUGACUUACUUAACAAAUAUUAAGUGACCAACAUAUGCAACCAUGACCAUGACAUUUAGUGAUGCUGAGGACACAGAACUAAGUGACUUUCUGUAUGAAACUUGCAUUCUCACAGGGGUGAUAGUUAAUAAGCAAGUAAUGAAAUAAAUAUAAAAAUGUAAUAGGUUAUGGUGUAGGUGUCCAUGGAUGUGGAAAUGUGUUAUGUAGGUGAUGAGACUGUUGAUAGAGGACAUUGAAAAUUGUUGGGAUUUUUGUCCUCAUGUUUUUUUUUCUGUAUUAUUGCCAUUUUCAAAAAUAUGUAUACUGAAAUCACAGCUUUUAUAUACACUAAUAACAACUAGUUUAAAAUAUGCAAUGGAAAAACCUAUUCUUUGUAGAAUAGUACCAUGAAAAGUAGUUCCACUGGGUGCUCAUAAAAUCUUCAUGAAGGCCUCUUCUACUAUAAUUUGGGCUUGAGCCUGCCUUUUGCCUGACUCCCUUUGUAUGGGGUGCACCAUUGCCAACAACAUCUAAAAUGUUCAUUUCAAAUGCUCCUUGAGCUAAUUAUGGUUACCCAGGGGCUUGAGGGCAAUGGGUUCUAGCUGCCAUCACACUCUGCCUCAUUAUGGAGGAUUUCAGCCCACCCUUGUUCUCCCAAAGUGAGAUUUCCUUCCUUCCUCUUCCAUUCAGCCCAGUCCUCUCUGUCUGCCUGUGGCUGGGCUGUGCCACAAGCUCAGUUCCCUGUGUCAUGGGUAAUAGUCACCCAGGGAAACUUGCCAUCUGGCAAAAAUGCCACCUUUUAGUCACAAGAGCUUUCCUAUGCCCAGUACUUCUGUUGACUGUUGGGAGAGGAUAAUUUUCUAUGUUUCUUUAUUGGAAUAGAAAAUAGCCUGAAGACAGUGAAGGAAGAUCAUGAUGCUCCCUCUGUGACUUAGUCACACUUUACCCCAUAUGUAGAAUGCUUCCACAUGCAAAUCUCUCCCCUCCUUCAAAGCCCACUCCAAAUGGUACCUCCUCCAUGGAGCCUUCUUGAGUAACAUAAUGCUCUACCCAUCUUCUGAAGUUUCAUAGAAAAUCUCUUCGAGCCAAAGUGGCCUGGAUACAUAACCUGCUUCAACACACACCAGCUGUACAGCUUAAGCCUUCAGUGUUUGCUGCAGUGAUAUCACCUGUACCACAGCUUCUUCUGCAGUGUGACCUUUUCACUUCCCCAUGAUGAACUGGAGUCUAAUUUCUAAGUUAAUCCAUGCUUGCCUUAUAAGUACCUUAACCAAAUAGACUGUAAUGGAAGUGGGAUUGCAUGACUUCAGAUACUGUUAGAAGAACCCAGCUGCCACCAGAAAGCUAAGGCACAUAGAGAGGCCUCUACGUAGGUAGGUGGCUCUUACAGGCAGUCUCAGCUGAGCCCAGACAUCAACUCACCUCAGGUUCCAGACCUGUACAUAAAGAAAUCUCUUUUUGAUUUCAGCCUCUGGACAUUUGAGACCUUCCCACUGCCCCAGGUAUCUUUGAGCAUAAACAAGCUACUUCUGUGAUACCUUAUUCUAAUUCCUGGCCCACAGACUCCAUGAACACGAUCAAAUGGUUUUAUACCACUACGAUUGGGUGGUCUUUUAUGCAGCAAUACAAAAAAUCUAGAGCAGUGUUUCAGUUCUUAAAUGAACAAAAUGGUAUGAUACUGUCAACCCUAGUGUGUAGUUGAAAAUUAAAUGAAAUAAUAUAUGAAGCACCUGGCAGUGCUUGACAUUUAGAAAGCAUUUAAUGAAUAUUUUUUUUCAUUUCCUUCCAACUACAGUAGCUACCUGUCCACACAUCUUACGUUUUACUAAAAUUUUUGCUCUCCUGUGGCAGGAGUUGAAUCAUAUUUAAGUUGUAAGCCCUGUGUUACCAUUGUGUAUAUAUUAUAUGCUCAUAAAAUAUUUACUGAGUAAAAAGAUGAAUAAAUAACUAUAAUGGGCACUGGAUUGGGAGCCAGAAACUUUAGUUACUAGCUGUGCAUUCUUGGUAAGUUUUUUUCUGUUUAAUAAUUAUUUUUUCUUAUGUUAAAAUUGAAAAGGUUUAGGCUGAAAGGGGAGAUAUGGUGGCAGAUUGAAGAAGACCUAGCAACUGUUUUUAAAUUCUUAAAGAAUUGUUAUGGGGAAGAAGAAUGGAUUUCUCUGUUUGACUCUCAAGUAGUACAGUCAGGAACCUGUGUGGAAUACACAGGCACAAGACAAAUAAUUAUCUAGAGUCAGAUUGUUCAAAGAUGGAAGAAAUGCUUUGUGAGCUAGUGAAUGCCCUGCCCCUAGAGGUGUUUCUCUGGGAAACUUGAGUGUAACCCUCCUACUCUGCUGUAGAGGAUAUGCAAGCAUUGGAGGAGGCAAAUUCCAUCCCCUAUGUUCCUAAUUCUACCACUGGACGCCUUCUUUCAGCUCCAAAAAUCUUCAAAUUUGCAACAGAUCUUCUGACUCUAGUCUUUCCUGUCAUUGCUACGUCAGUGGGUCUGGAGUGGAAUGGAUAGGAAGCUGGCAAGUACAGCAACCUGGGAAUAGCCCAGCUUGUUUAUUUCAGUGAUGCAGGGGAGGGCAAAAGAAGUGAGGCAUUGUGGGGAGGAGUAUUGAUCAGGAACUAAAAUUUAAGUGCACUUCCAAAGAUGAUUAGAGAGCCACUAUUAAUGCUCUGUAGGGGAUCGCUAGGAGGGCACUACGUAGCAAGAACUGGAAAAACCUCUGGAACGUGUGGAUGCAGAAACCCUAAGUGAUGGGGGCUUCAGAGACUGAAAAGUAGGUUUGUAAUUUUUCAUAGGAGCAUCUACAUUUGUCAGGUAAGAAUGGGUUACAUUGCACCCUCAAAUAACUUGCAAAGGUCUUCAGAUUAACACCACAAAAGUUUAAUUCUCAUUCAUGCCAAAUCUACUCCCCUCUUCAGGGUCAUAGCUCAGCUAUCCAGGUGGCUUUGGUUUUGUGGCUCCACUUUCUCAACAUGAAACUCCAAUAGAGGAAGAAGGAAACAUGUGACCUGGAGAGUUGAAGUGGGUAUUGGAGACUGCUGCAUCAGCAGGGAAAUGCUUUAUAUCCUCAAAUGACAUGUGCUUCUCCUGACAGCUCAUUGACCAGAAUUAGCAACAUGGCCCUUCCUAACUAGAAGGGACCAGAAUGGAUAGUCCUUCUAUGUGUCCAGAAGGAGAGAAGGACCAGAUAUGUGUGAUCAUGUCUCCAUUAUGGGAGAAAAGAGAAUUGAAAAAGAAAGAAGAUCCACAUAGUGUCUGAGGAGCUGAGACAAAAGAAAAAUGCCACUGCUACUCCUUCACUUGCUCAUUCUGCAAAAGUUUGUAGAUCUUCUGCAAGGAGAACGGCAUUGUUAACUACCUACAGGAAGUGUCUCAGAUUAACAGACGUGUGUAGGAUUUCAGUCCCAUUUGAAUACACCCGAUGGAUGUACGACCUUGAGAAAUUUACUUAACACUUCCAGGUCAGCCCGGCGUGGUGGCUUAUGCCUGUAUUUCCAGCACUUGGGGAGGCCAAGCCGGGUGGAUCACGAGGUCAGGAGUCCGAGACCAGCCUGGCCAACAUGGUGAAAACCUGUCUCUACUAAAGAUACAAAAAUUAUCUGGGUGUGGUGGUGGGCGCCUGCAAUUCCAGCUACUCGGGAGGCUGAGGCAGGAGAAUCAUUUGAACCUGGGAGGCAGAGGUUGCAGUGAGCCAAGAUCACACCAUUGCACUCCAGCGGGGGCAACAGGGCUAGACUGCCUCUCAAAACAAACAAACAAACAAACAAACAAACAAAAACAUUUCGGGGUCAAAUGUUUGUCACCUAAAAACAAAGCCAUUGAGCAUAAGAAGAACAUAAUGGACUUUGGGGACUCAGGAGGAAAGUGUGGGAAGGGGAUGAGGGAUAAAAGACGACAAAUAUGGUGCUGUGUAUACUGCUCUGGUGAUGGGUGCACCAAAAUCUCACAAAUCACCACAAAAGAACUUACUCAUGUAACCAAAUACCACCUGUUUCCCAAU